AAUAAAAACACAUACGGAGGAAAGAAACCAACAGGGAUUGCCCUAGUAACGGCGAGUGAAGCGGCAACAGCUCAAAUUUGAAAUCUGGCGUCUUUGGCGUCCGAGUUGUAAUUUGCAGAGGGCGCUUUGGCAUUGGCAGCGGUCCAAGUUCCUUGGAACAGGACGUCACAGAGGGUGAGAAUCCCGUACGUGGUCGCUAGCCUUUACCGUGUAAAGCCCCUUCGACGAGUCGAGUUGUUUGGGAAUGCAGCUCUAAAUGGGAGGUAAAUUUCUUCUAAAGCUAAAUACUGGCCAGAGACCGAUAGCGCACAAGUAGAGUGAUCGAAAGAUGAAAAGCACUUUGGAAAGAGAGUUAAAAAGCACGUGAAAUUGUUGAAAGGGAAGCGCUUGCAGCCAGACUUGCCUGUAGUUGCUCAUCCGGGUUUCUACCCGGUGCACUCUUCUAUAGGCAGGCCAGCAUCAGUUUGGGCGGUUGGAUAAAGGUCUCUGUCAUGUACCUCCUUUCGGGGAGAACUUAUAGGGGAGACGACAUGCAACCAGCCCGGACUGAGGUCCGCGCAUCUGCUAGGAUGCUGGCGUAAUGGCUGUAAGCGGCCCGUCUUGAAACACGGACCAAGGAGUCUAACAUCUAUGCGAGUGUUUGGGUGUCAAGCCCGAGCGCGUAAUGAAAGUGAACGGAGGUGGGAACCUUUCGGGGUGCACCAUCGACCGAUCCUGAUGUCUUCGGAUGGAUUUGAGUAAGAGCAUAGCUGUUGGGACCCGAAAGAUGGUGAACUAUGCUUGAAUAGGGUGAAGCCAGAGGAAACUCUGGUGGAGGCUCGCAGCGGUUCUGACGUGCAAAUCGAUCGUCAAAUUUGGGCAUAGGGGCGAAAGACUAAUCGAAC
rnacentral:rRNA from 1 species